UCUUGUGGUGACCUGGGAAUCAAUGUGUGAGGUGGUGCUAUGUAGCAGGAACCCCUCUUGCUUUGCAAAUAGUUUUUUGUUUGUUUUCCUUUUUGCCCAAUAGAGCCCUGCUCUACUGACCCUUCAAUGUGCCCGUGUGCCUAAAUAUUCCUGGUCGUGUGAAAAGAACCCAGGUAUUAGCUGAACUAAGGAGCACAAUUCUGCAACAUUUUGGCACCCAAACACGGGGCUUGAGAAAUGAAUGCAAUUGGAGAAACUGGUUGUUUUACCAGGCGUUGAUUGGAAAUGUGUGCUUCCCUUUAAGCAGUCAAGCUCAACUUGCAGAACUGAUGGGAACCCCUUGGGAAAACUGGCCUCAAAUGUUUGUCUACACAGUCCACAUACAGGGUUCUUAACCUGCGAUGAGGGAAACUUCCCAGGGCUUGUCUGGGUAUGCCCACAGUGGACUGGAGCCCAAAAUGCACACUGGAGGAAGUGGAUGGAGCCACGUGGAUGUCAUGCCUUAUGCAGGGGAGGAGCCUGCUCUCUUCAGCUCCUGUGGUAAUGUGGGAAUCGAUCUGUGAGGAAACACUUUCUGAAAAUGUCAGAACUCUUGAAAACAUGGAUGAGGAAAAGCAUAAGUACUGCUUUAUGCUUUUCUUAUGAAUUUUAAAAGAUGUAAUUUAAAGGUACUUUAAAGUGAUAUUUGUGCCCUUGUAACUGAUUCAAAGUAGACUGCUAAGGACAAUAAGUAAUAAGAGUCUACAAAUAUCAGUAAAUUAUGAGAAAAAACGGUCUAAUGGUACUUAAAAUUGCAUUGUGAUUUAUUAAAUAACAUUGAACAGCUCCACCUGUAACAUUAAGAUUCCAUUUGAGCAUAUAGAAAAUAUAUUUAUCGCAACCUGAAGUGAUUUGGAAAGUAUGCUGGGAAGAAAAUAUAUUUACAAAUUAGUCUCAGAGGGUAGGUAUCCUGUAGCCAGAUGGAAUAAGAAGAGAGGGAAGGGAGAUUUUGUUCAAAGGGGGAGCAUAAGCUAAGGAAUAAAGCCACAAACAAUGAUUAAAUUAGGUAAAGUGCAAUUAGCUGAAUAUUGCAUAAGCAUACAUAUGGGAAGAAGUGGAAAAAGGAGUGACAAUAUGAAGCUAAAGGGUUUGAAGUGUUCAAGAUAAUACUAGGCUUCCUAGCCUAUUCCGAGACAUCUUGUUUUAGAGUGCAAUAGAUAAGAACUCUAAGGAUGAAAGUAGGAGACAUGCAUUCUAGUCUACGUUUUGGUUAAUGGACUGAAAGUGAAAGAUGGACUGAAAUUGGGGGAUGGAAUAAAAAUGUGAUAGAAUAGAAAAUAGAAAAA
rnacentral:lncRNA from 1 species